rnacentral:lncRNA from 1 species
ACAUGAAAUUCACAGUAUGUUGUUAUACUCACACUUAAAAAAUAUAGGAAUUUGCAAAUUGAUGUAAACAUACAUUACUUCCAAGAACAUCUCUCCCUUUCUCCCUGGAGGAAAAAGAAGAGAGUCAUCCAAGCAAGGCAACCCCUUCCGAGUAACUUCAACACAAAGGGUGUGGGUCCUCUCUAAAUGAAACAGCCGUUCAUCUGGCCUGGGAGCCACAGCGGGAACACAGUGAAUGACAGCAAUGACAAGAGCUUGACUUCAGAGGGAACUGGACGACUGAGAACUGAGUUUCCAGAAGGAAACGCGCUCCUCACCGAAGCUGCGCGCUGGACCAGCAUGGCUGGUGAACAUCCUCUCCAGUGUGAAGCAACCCAGUGCAGGGCUGCUGUGUCCACUCUCCAGGUGCGCAGGAGCACUCUGAUUUCAUCUCCGGGGUCCUAUCCACUUCUUCCCACACUGCAACUGUCCAGAUUAUUCGAGGUACCCUGCUGCUUACCCACUUAAACUACUUUUCAAGUUGAUUAGAAAAACUUUUAA